UACGUAGGGGGCAAGCGUUAUCCGGAUUUACUGGGUGUAAAGGGAGCGUAGACGGCGGUGCAAGCCUGUGGUGAAAACCCCGAGCCCAACUCGGGGAUUGCCGUGGGAACUGCAUGGCUGGAGUGCCGGAGGGGUAAGCGGAAUUCCUGGUGUAGCGGUGAAAUGCGUAGAUAUCAGGAAGAACACCAGUGGCGAAGGCGGCUUACUGGACGGCAACUGACGUUGAGGCUCGAAGGCGUGGGGAGCAAACAGG
rnacentral:rRNA from 1 species